GAUCAGGGCGUGACAGGAGGAGUCGUUGUCUUUUCAAAUAGGGACAAAGAUGUUAACAUCAUGAGAGAGGAAAUAGCAGUCACUCUCCUCCAAAACACUGAUGGCCAACUUCUGACUGAGCCAUUAUUGAGAUGGACAAUAAUUUGGAAGACACUAACGGGAUUGGUUGUGACCGCUGCCCACGAUGGUUCCACCAGUCCUGUAUGAAAAUCCUCCAAUGGUGGGAUGGUUAUGUCUGCGCUGCCUGUCAGUACUAGGUUAGGCUUGCGUUCCAGGCAACGGUAUCACCUGAAACUUUCCAUAAAAAGUGGACUAAAUGUUCAGUCGAGCUGUUACAGCUUUCCAAUAUCUGUUUGUUAUUGGUCUUUUUAUAUUUUAUUUGUAAUUAUAUCUUAUGCAAAGAUUGACAUUUGUAUUUCUUAUUUAAUUUUAAAGUUUGUGGUUUAAUAUUUAUUUUCUAAAACAUUUCAAAAUGUUUCUAAAAUAAAAGUUUGUUUCUUCAUA